rnacentral:rRNA from 1 species
UACGUAGGGAGCAAGCGUUGUCCGGAAUCAUUGGGCGUAAAGCGCGCGUAGGUGGUCCCGUAAGUCCGCUGUGAAAGUCAAAGGCUCAACCUUUGAAAGCCGGUGGAUACUGUGGACUAGAGUACGGAAGAGGCGAGUGGAAUUCCUGGUGUAGCGGUGGAAUGCGCAGAUAUCAGGAGGAACACCAAUGGCGAAGGCAGCACUCUGGGACGUGACUGACGCUGAGACGCGAAAGCGUGGG